GACGAACGCUGGCGGCGUGCCUAAUACAUGCAAGUAGAACGCUGAAGAGAGGAGCUUGCUCUUCUUGGAUGAGUUGCGAACGGGUGAGUAACGCGUAGGUAACCUGCCUUGUAGCGGGGGAUAACUAUUGGAAACGAUAGCUAAUACCGCAUAACAAUGGAUGACACAUGUCAUUUAUUUGAAAGGGGCAAUUGCUCCACUACAAGAUGGACCUGCGUUGUAUUAGCUAGUGGGUGAGGUAAUGGCUCACCUAGGCGACGAUACAUAGCCGACCUGAGAGGGUGAUCGGCCACACUGGGACUGAGACACGGCCCAGGCUCCUACGGGAGGCAGCAGUAGGGAAUCUUCGGCAAUGGGGGCAACCCUGACCGGGCAACGCCGCGUGAGUGAAGAAGGUUUUCGGAUCGUAAAGCUCUGUUGUAAGUCAAGAACGGGUGUGAGAGUGGAAAGUUCACACUGUGACGGUAGCUUACCAGAAAGGGACGGCUAACUACGUG
rnacentral:rRNA from 1 species